rnacentral:rRNA from 1 species
GGGUUGUGAGGUUAAGCGACUAAGCGUACACGGUGGAUGCCCUGGCAGUCAGAGGCGAUGAAGGGCGUGCUAAUCUGCGAUAAGCGCCGGUAAGGUGAUAUGAACCGUUAUAACCGGCGAUACCCGAAUGGGGAAACCCAGUGUGACUCGUCACACUAUCAUUAACUGAAUCCAUAGGUUAAUGAGGCGAACCGGGGAACUGAAACAUCUAAGUACCCCGAGGAAAAGAAAUCAACCGAGAUUCCCCAGUAGCGGCGAGCGAACGGGGAGGAGCCCAGAGCCUGAAUCAGCAUGUGUGUUAGUGGAAGCGUCUGGAAAGGCGCGCGAUACAGGGUGACAGCCCCGUACACAAAAGCGCAUGUGCUGUGAGCUCGAUGAGUAGGGCGGGACACGUGGUAUCCUGUCUGAAUAUGGGGGGACCAUCCUCCAAGGCUAAAUACUCCUGACUGACCGAUAGUGAACCAGUACCGUGAGGGAAAGGCGAAAAGAACCCCGGCGAGGGGAGUGAAAAAGAACCUGAAACCGUGUACGUACAAGCAGUGGGAGCACAGGUUUACCUGUGUGACUGCGUACCUUUUGUAUAAUGGGUCAGCGACUUAUAUUCUGUAGCAAGGUUAACCGAAUAGGGGAGCCGGAGGGAAACCGAGUCUUAAUUGGGCGUUAAGUUGCAGGGUAUAGACCCGAAACCCGGUGAUCUAGCCAUGGGCAGGUUGAAGGUUGGGUAACACUAACUGGAGGACCGAACCGACUAAUGUUGAAAAAUUAGCGGAUGACCUGUGGCUGGGGGUGAAAGGCCAAUCAAACCGGGAGAUAGCUGGUUCUCCCCGAAAGCUAUUUAGGUAGCGCCUCGUGAAUUCAUCUCCGGGGGUAGAGCACUGUUUCGGCUAGGGGGCCAUCCCGGCUUACCAACCCGAUGCAAACUGCGAAUACCGGAGAAUGUUAUCACGGGAGACACACGGCGGGUGCUAACGUCCGUCGUGAAGAGGGAAACAACCCAGACCGCCAGCUAAGGUCCCAAAGUCAUGGUUAAGUGGGAAACGAUGUGGGAAGGCCCAGACAGCCAGGAUGUUGGCUUAGAAGCAGCCAUCAUUUAAAGAAAGCGUAAUAGCUCACUGGUCGAGUCGGCCUGCGCGGAAGAUGUAACGGGGCUAAACCAUGCACCGAAGCUGCGGCAGCGACACUGUGUGUUGUUGGGUAGGGGAGCGUUCUGUAAGCCUGUGAAGGUGGCCUGUGAGGGUUGCUGGAGGUAUCAGAAGUGCGAAUGCUGACAUAAGUAACGAUAAAGCGGGUGAAAAGCCCGCUCGCCGGAAGACCAAGGGUUCCUGUCCAACGUUAAUCGGGCAGGGUGAGUCGACCCUAAGGCGAGGCCGAAAGGCGUAGUCGAUGGGAAACAGGUUAAUAUUCCUGUACUUGGUGUUACUGCGAAGGGGGACGGAGAAGGCUAUGUUGGCCGGGCGACGGUUGUCCCGGUUUAAGCGUGUAGGUGUGUGUUCCAGGUAAAUCCGGUUCACUUUAACACUGAGGCGUGAUGACGAGGCACUACGGUGCUGAAGCAACAAAUGCCCUGCUUCCAGGAAAAGCCUCUAAGCAUCAGGUAACAUCAAAUCGUACCCCAAACCGACACAGGUGGUCAGGUAGAGAAUACCAAGGCGCUUGAGAGAACUCGGGUGAAGGAACUAGGCAAAAUGGUGCCGUAACUUCGGGAGAAGGCACGCUGACACGUAGGUGAAGUGAUUUACUCAUGGAGCUGAAGUCAGUCGAAGAUACCAGCUGGCUGCAACUGUUUAUUAAAAACACAGCACUGUGCAAACACGAAAGUGGACGUAUACGGUGUGACGCCUGCCCGGUGCCGGAAGGUUAAUUGAUGGGGUCAGCGCAAGCGAAGCUCCUGAUCGAAGCCCCGGUAAACGGCGGCCGUAACUAUAACGGUCCUAAGGUAGCGAAAUUCCUUGUCGGGUAAGUUCCGACCUGCACGAAUGGCGUAAUGAUGGCCAGGCUGUCUCCACCCGAGACUCAGUGAAAUUGAACUCGCUGUGAAGAUGCAGUGUACCCGCGGCAAGACGGAAAGACCCGUGAACCUUUACUAUAGCUUGACACUGAACAUUGAGCCUUGAUGUGUAGGAUAGGUGGGAGGCUUUGAAGUGUGGACGCCAGUCUGCAUGGAGCCGACCUUGAAAUACCACCCUUUAAUGUUUGAUGUUCUAACGUGGACCCGUAAUCCGGGUUGCGGACAGUGUCUGGUGGGUAGUUUGACUGGGGCGGUCUCCUCCUAAAGAGUAACGGAGGAGCACGAAGGUUGGCUAAUCCUGGUCGGACAUCAGGAGGUUAGUGCAAUGGCAUAAGCCAGCUUGACUGCGAGCGUGACGGCGCGAGCAGGUGCGAAAGCAGGUCAUAGUGAUCCGGUGGUUCUGAAUGGAAGGGCCAUCGCUCAACGGAUAAAAGGUACUCCGGGGAUAACAGGCUGAUACCGCCCAAGAGUUCAUAUCGACGGCGGUGUUUGGCACCUCGAUGUCGGCUCAUCACAUCCUGGGGCUGAAGUAGGUCCCAAGGGUAUGGCUGUUCGCCAUUUAAAGUGGUACGCGAGCUGGGUUUAGAACGUCGUGAGACAGUUCGGUCCCUAUCUGCCGUGGGCGCUGGAGAACUGAGGGGGGCUGCUCCUAGUACGAGAGGACCGGAGUGGACGCAUCACUGGUGUUCGGGUUGUCAUGCCAAUGGCACUGCCCGGUAGCUAAAUGCGGAAGAGAUAAGUGCUGAAAGCAUCUAAGCACGAAACUUGCCCGAGAUGAGUUCUCCCUGAGACUUAGAGUCUCCUGAAGGAACGUUGAAGACGACGACGUUGAUAGGCCGGGUGUGUAAGCGCAGCGAUGCGUUGAGCUAACCGGUACUAAUGAACCGUGAGGCUUAACCUUACAACGCCGAAG